rnacentral:rRNA from 1 species
GACGAACGCUGGCGGCGUGCUUAACACAUGCAAGUCGAGCGGUAAGGCCCUUUCGGGGGUACACGAGCGGCGAACGGGUGAGUAACACGUGGGUGACCUGCCCUCAGCUCUGGGAUAAGCCUGGGAAACCGGGUCUAAUACCGGAUAUGACUCCAUGACGCAUGUUGUGGGGUGGAAAGCCUUGUGCGGCUGAGGAUGGGCCCGCGGCCUAUCAGCUUGGUUGGUGGGGUGAUGGCCUACCAAGGCGACGACGGGUAGCCGGCCUGAGAGGGGCGACCGGGCCACACUGGGACUGAGACACGGCCCAGACUCCUACGGGAGGCAGCAGUGGGGAAUCUUGCGCAAUGGGCGAAAAGCCUGACGCAGCGACGCCGCGUGAGGGAUGACGGCCUGGU